rnacentral:lncRNA from 1 species
AACUAUUAUUUCCUUGUUUCCCAGUGUGACCCUAACCUGGCAGUGUAUGGAGUAUGGAUUAAUACUCUGGACCCCAGAUUACCUAGAAUAUGCCUGUUUGCCAAGAGAGACAUUGCCAAAGGAGAAGAGCUCACUUUUGAUUACAUGAUGACUGGGGAUACCAGCCAACAAGCUCAGCCCAGUUGUGCUCUUCCCACGGCCGUCGACAUCCUGGAGACGACAGUGACAGAGGAAGGCUCGGAGAUCAUCACCAUGUGCGCCAGCCCUGGAUCUCUCUACCCCUCUGAGGGCGCUGAAGACCCCGUGCCUGCCACUGAAACGUUUCGCAUGGUUUGCCAGUGUGGAGCCAAAAAUUGUAGGAAGUAUUUAUUUUAAGGCCUUUAUUUUUAAAGGAAGUAGGUAGUAAAAGGGUGGUGAAAGAAGUAGGUUUGUAGUCAAGGAAGUCAUAGAAAUAAGCUUUGUAAGAUAGGGGCUACAAGGUAGCGUUGAGUUAAAGAACUAGAUUGUUGUGUUGUGUGUCACUAGGAGGGCUAUAUAUUAAAAAAAUUUGAUGUUUUAGAUGAAGUAGAUUCUGUAUUCAUGUGACUACAUGUCUGUGUUUGAAAUGAUUGGAUAUUUUCCAGGUUGUUUGUUCACAUUCAUUAGUUAGCCAGUUAGAAAGACAUGAUUUGUCUUAAAACUGAAGAAAACGGUGAAGUUGUCCUUCUUUUAAAUAUUUUUAGUGAAUAUGAGGUACUCAUUCAAGAUAAGCAUUGCUUUGCAUUUUUUUGUACGAGUUGUAUGAGACAAACUUUAAUUAUUCAAAUAGAUAAUUUUUACCUACACACGGGGUUGAAUUAUUCAGGUUUUGAAUUACCAUUUUGCAUGUUAACCAAAAAACUAAUUGUGACUGGUACUUUUUAUUCAUCUGCUAAAUUUCAGAUGUAACUUGUUGUGUUUUAGAAUAAAGUGCCUUUUUUUAAAUAAAAAGUUGAUAGUAUGCCUAUUUUUAUUCAUAGUUUAUUUAACAAUAUUUUAUAAUUUAUGGCAAAAAAAUUAAAAUUAAGAAUGAGCAGUUUUAGUUUUGACUACAUUUAUGAUGAAUUUCAAGUUAUAACCAAUAUGGUUUCAUAAUGAUGUCCAAGUGUGGAAUUACACUUGAUGUACUUGCAUGAAGAGAGAGAUGUGUGUUUGUAACAUAUUGUUCAUCACUUUUUUUAGAAUUAGCUGCAAGACGGUUUUAUAUUUUAGUGGCUUCUCAUUUGGAUAAUAAGGAAUAAUGAUCCUUGGGCAGAGAGUUGUAAAAAUGUUAAUUUCAUCAAUUCAGAUAUGAUAAAGGUCGGUUUCAUUCCAAUGCUGAUGAAAAUGAGUUUAUUUAUUCAACCUGUCAAGGAAAAAGGUAUCAAUCAUUUCCUGACAGCUGAAUGGUUCAAUGUUCAAUCUUUGCACAAUGAUAUAUUAGGUGAAUGCAUUGUGGUUGGUUCCAAAAGUAUUUUUUAAUUCUGUGUUCAAACUUAAAUUCUUCUUUGUCUUAAAUAUUGAGUAGCAUUUUUGCUUGAAUUUUUUUUCCAUAUAUUUGACUGUAAUUUCUUUGAAUAGAAUGUUAAUUUUUUUCCCCUUUUUUUUUCAAUGGAAAUUUUCAACACAUUAGUUGUGAAUAAAAAAAACUAAUGGGAGAAUGAAAUAUAAGUAUCUUUUCUGUAGAAUUCAGCAGAGAGGAUGUUUAGUAGAGGAAGGCUUGAAACCAGGAAAUGAGAAACUGGUUGUCUGAUGGAUAUGUGUAGAAUAUAUGGUACAAAUGAGAUGAGGUAACGUGAAGCUCAACAUUAUUCCACCAUGAGUUCACAAGAGUUACAGUGCUGAUCUUAUUGGAAAUGGAGACAUUUAUCGUGAUGGUGUUAUGAUGUAUAUUUGUGGUUGAUUGUAAUGGAACCCAAACCGGCACACCUGGGAUUUUUCAAGGAAGUAAUAAUUGUUUCUGCCUUUAUGGCGUCUUUGUGAACAAUGAAACUCAUGCAGUUAUGGAUGGAUUUUGAUAAAAAUUUACGGGAUGGGUCAGAAAUAGGUUAGCUGUAAGUUGAGUAGGUUUUGGUGGUGAUACAUUAAUUAAUGAGAAUUGAGCUACCUUGGCAGGGGUUUUCACUGAGUCCUGUUCUAGUUUUUUUUCCUUCCACUCCCAGGCCAUGAAGCAUGAAAUUAAUGGUUAACGAGGAGGAGUUCAAGUUUUGAUGUGUUAUCUUCACCUUCACUUGUUGCAACACUUGUUUUAUAAUUGCAUUGAUACACCAAUUGGCAUCUGUACGUCAUAUUCAGAAAUAAAUGUAUUAUUUGAAAUGUUA